UGAGGGAAAGGCGAAAAGAACCCCGGCGAGGGGAGUGAAAAAGAACCUGAAACCGUGUACGUACAAGCAGUGGGAGCCCCACCACUAAGCCAGUGGUGAACUCCACAUCCGCAUCCUUUGCUGAGGAUACGGUUAACGGAGCGAAAGCGACGUUCAACCGCAAAACAAGCAGAGGGGGCUUAGUGGUGGGGUGACUGCGUACCUUUUGUAUAAUGGGUCAGCGACUUAUAUUCUGUAGCAAGGUUAACCGUAUAGGGGAGCCGUAGGGAAACCGAGUCUUAACCGGGCGUUAAGUUGCAGGGUAUAGACCCGAAACCCGGUGAUCUAGCCAUGGGCAGGUUGAAGGUUGGGUAACACUAACUGGAGGACCGAACCGACUAAUGUUGAAAAAUUAGCGGAUGACCUGUGGCUGGGGGUGAAAGGCCAAUCAAACCGGGAGAUAGCUGGUUCUCCCCGAAAGCUAUUUAGGUAGCGCCUCGUGAAUUCAUCUCCGGGGGUAGAGCACUGUUUCGGCUAGGGGGCCAUCCCGGCUUACCAACCCGAUGCAAACUGCGAAUACCGGAGAAUGUUAUCACGGGAGACACACGGCGGGUGCUAACGUCCGUCGUGAAGAGGGAAACAACCCAGACCGCCAGCUAAGGUCCCAAAGUCAUGGUUAAGUGGGAAACGAUGUGGGAAGGCCCAGACAGCCAGGAUGUUGGCUUAGAAGCAGCCAUCAUUUAAAGAAAGCGUAAUAGCUCACUGGUCGAGUCGGCCUGCGCGGAAGAUGUAACGGGGCUAAACCAUGCACCGAAGCUGCGGCAGCGACGCUGAUGCGUUGUUGGGUAGGGGAGCGUUCUGUAAGCCUGUGAAGGUGUGUCGUGAGGCAUGCUGGAGGUAUCAGAAGUGCGAAUGCUGACAUAAGUAACGAUAAAGCGGGUGAAAAGCCCGCUCGCCGGAAGACCA
rnacentral:rRNA from 1 species